rnacentral:rRNA from 1 species
GAGGAACGCUGGCGGCACGCUUAACACAUGCAAGUCGAACGAGAGAAGAGGAGCUUGCUUUUCUGAUCUAGUGGCGGACGGGUGAGUAACACGUGAGCAAUCUGCCUUUCAGAGGGGGAUACCGAUUGGAAACGAUCGUUAAUACCGCAUAAUAUAAUUGAACCGCAUGAUUUGAUUAUCAAAGAUUUAUCGCUGAAAGAUGAGCUCGCGUCUGAUUAGCUAGUUGGUAAGGUAACGGCUUACCAAGGCGACGAUCAGUAGCCGGACUGAGAGGUCGAUCGGCCACAUUGGGACUGAGACACGGCCCAGACUCCUACGGGAGGCAGCAGUGGGGAAUAUUGCACAAUGGAGGAAACUCUGAUGCAGCGAUGCCGCGUGAGGGAAGAAGGUUUUAGGAUUGUAAACCUCUGUCUUCAGGGACGAAAAAAGACGGUACCUGAGGAGGAAGCUCCGGCUAACUACGUGCCAGCAGCCGCGGUAAUACGUAGGGAGCGAGCGUUGUCCGGAAUUACUGGGUGUAAAGGGAGCGUAGGCGGGAUCGCAAGUCAGAUGUGAAAACUAUGGGCUUAACCCAUAAACUGCAUUUGAAACUGUGGUUCUUGAGUGAAGUAGAGGUAAGCGGAAUUCCUAGUGUAGCGGUGAAAUGCGUAGAUAUUAGGAGGAACAUCAGUGGCGAAGGCGGCUUACUGGGCUUUAACUGACGCUGAGGCUCGAAAGCGUGGGGAGCAAACAGGAUUAGAUACCCUGGUAGUCCACGCCGUAAACGAUGAUUACUAGGUGUGGGGGGACUGACCCCUUCCGUGCCGCAGCAAACGCAAUAAGUAAUCCACCUGGGGAGUACGACCGCAAGGUUGAAACUCAAAGGAAUUGACAGGGGCCCGCACAAGCAGUGGAGUAUGUGGAUUAAUUCGAAGCAACGCGAAGAACCUUACCAGGUCUUGACAUCGUAUGCAUAGCUCAGAGAUGAGUGAAAUCUCUUCGGAGACAUAUAGACAGGUGGUGCAUGGUUGUCGUCAGCUCGUGUCGUGAGAUGUUGGGUUAAGUCCCGCAACGAGCGCAACCCUUACUGUUAGUUGCUACGCAAGAGCACUCUAGCAGGACUGCCGUUGACAAAACGGAGGAAGGUGGGGAUGACGUCAAAUCAUCAUGCCCCUUAUGACCUGGGCCUCACACGUACUACAAUGGCUGUCAACAGAGGGAAGCAAAGCCGCGAGGUGGAGCGAACCCCUAAAAGCAGUCUUAGUUCGGAUUGUAGGCUGCAACCCGCCUACAUGAAGUCGGAAUUGCUAGUAAUCGCAGAUCAGCAUGCUGCGGUGAAUACGUUCCCGGGCCUUGCACAC